UGUUUCUCACCUCACAGUUACCAUGGAACUCUUGAAUUGGAUGCUUAAAGGUGCAACUCCUUCAUUUAUAUAGCCAUGCACGUUUCUUUUGCAUGUGGCUCCUCUUUCUCCAGUGGG